UGACGUUUGCAAAUUAUAAGC
rnacentral:piRNA from 1 species